GACGAACGCUGGCGGCGUGCCUAACACAUGCAAGUCGAACGGAGCAGCAGCAAUGCUGCUUAGUGGCGGACGGGCGAGUAACGCGUGAGCAACCUGCCUUGUACUGGGGGAUAACGACGGGAAACCGUCGCUAAUACCGCAUAAUACUGAGGGGCUACCUGGUCCUUCAGUCAAAACUCCGGUGGUACAAGAUGAGCUCGCGUCCAAUUAGCUAGUUGGCGGGGUAAUGGCCCACCAAGGCGACGAUUGGUAGCCGAACUGAGAGGUUGAUCGGCCGCAUUGGGACUGAGACACGGCCCAGACUCCUACGGGAGGCAGCAGUGGGGAAUAUUGCACAAUGGAGGAAACUCUGAUGCAGCAACGCCGCGUGAAGGAUGAAGGCUUUCGGGUUGUAAAGCUCUGUGGGAGGGAAGAAAACUCGGAUUCGAAUAGGGUCUGAGGUUGACGGUACCUCCUUAGCAAGCACCGGCUAACUCUGUGCCAGCAGCCGC
rnacentral:rRNA from 1 species